UACGUAGGGUGCAGGCGUUAAUCGGAAUUACUGGGCGUAAAGCGUGCGCAGGCGGUUUGCUAAGACAGGUGUGAAAUCCCCGGGCUUAACCUGGGAACUGCGCUUGUAACUGGCAAGCUGGAGUGUGGCAGAGGGGGGUGGAAUUCCGACGUGUAGCAGUGAAAUGCGUAGAGAUGUGGAGGAACACCGAUGGCGAAGGCAGCCCCCUGGGCUAACACUGACGCUCAUGCACGAAAGCGUGGGGAGCAAACAGG
rnacentral:rRNA from 1 species